AGAGGGUGAAACUCCCGUCCGCCUGGUAGAAUGAGUCUUUGUCAACGAGUCGAGUUGUUUGGGAUUGCAGCUCUAAUUUGGUGGUAAAUUCCAUCUAAAGCUAAAUAUUGGUGGGAGACCGAUAGCGUACAAGUACCGUGAGGGAAAGAUGCAAAGAACUUUGAAAAGAGAGUUAAAGAGUACCUGAAAUUGCUGAAACGGAAGCGAAGGAAACCAGUGUUUGUGGUUCAUAUUUCCUUGGCCACUUGUGGUUUGGGUCGGCUGUGAGCUUGCGUGGGUUUGGGUUGGUUGGAUCCCUUUCGGGUAGGAGCGCAGUCAGAGUUGAUGUCU
rnacentral:rRNA from 1 species